GGGGAUCUUCUGCACUAAGAGAUAGGCGUUCCCUUCGGGGACAGAAUGACAGGUGGUGCAUGGUUGUCGUCAGCUCGUGUCGUGAGAUGUUGGGUUAAGUCCCGCAACGAGCGCAACCCUUAUUACUAGUUGCCAGCAUUCAGUUGGGCACUCUAGUGAGACUGCCGGUGACAAACCGGAGGAAGGUGGGGACGACGUCAAAUCAUCAUGCCCCUUAUGACCUGGGCUACACACGUGCUACAAUGGAUGGUACAACGAGUCGCGAAACCGCGAGGUUUAGCUAAUCUCUUAAAACCAUUCUCAGUUCGGACUGUAGGCUGCAACUCGCCUACACGAAGUCGGAAUCGCUAGUAAUCGCGGAUCAGCAUGCCGCGGUGAAUACGUUCCCGGGUCUUGUACACACCGA
rnacentral:rRNA from 1 species